rnacentral:rRNA from 1 species
UACGAAGGGGGCUAGCGUUGCUCGGAAUCACUGGGCGUAAAGCGCACGUAGGCGGCUUUUUAAGUCAGGGGUGAAAUCCUGGAGCUCAACUCCAGAACUGCCUUUGAUACUGGGAAGCUUGAGGCCGGGAGAGGUGAGUGGAACUCCGAGUGUAGAGGUGAAAUUCGUAGAUAUUCGGAAGAACAUCAGUGGCGAAGGCGGCUCACUGGCCCGGUACUGACGCUGAGGUGCGAAAGCGUGGGGAGCAAACAGG